UACGGGGGGGGCAAGCGUUGUUCGGAAUUACUGGGCGUAAAGGGCUUGUAGGUGGCCAACUAAGUCAGACGUGAAAUCCCUCGGCUUAACCGGGGAACUGCGUCUGAUACUGGAUGGCUGGAGUGUGGGAGAGGGAUGCGGAAUUCCAGGUGUAGCGGUGAAAUGCGUAGAUAUCGGGAGGAACAUCAGUGGCGAAGGCGGCUGCCUGGCCCAAUACUGACACUCAGGUGCGACAGCGUGGGGAGCAAACAGG
rnacentral:rRNA from 1 species